GGGACGUCAGACAGCGUCCUGAUAGAAAUCUUUGCCUCCAGAUCCAACCAGCAAAUCAAAGCUCUGACUGACGUCUAUCUGGAAGAAACAGAAAAGAAGUUGACUCUUGACCUGAAGUCAGAAGUUUCUGGAGAUUUUGCCAAAGCGCUGCUCCUCCUGGCCGAGGGUCAGAGGGAGGACAGCACCUCAGUGGACACAAAAAAAGCCAAAGAAGAGGCCAAGGU